GUGCUUAACACAUGCAAGUCGAACGGAAAGGCCCUGCUUUUGUGGGGUGCUCGAGUGGCGAACGGGUGAGUAACACGUGAGUAACCUGCCCUUGACUUUGGGAUAACUUCAGGAAACUGGGGCUAAUACCGGAUAGGAGCUCCUGCUGCAUGGUGGGGGUUGGAAAGUUUCGGCGGUUGGGGAUGGACUCGCGGCUUAUCAGCUUGUUGGUGGGGUAGUGGCUUACCAAGGCUUUGACGGGUAGCCGGCCUGAGAGGGUGACCGGCCACAUUGGGGCUGAGAUACGGCCCAGACUCCUACGGGAGGCAGCAGUGGGGAAUAUUGCACAAUGGGCGGAAGCCUGAUGCAGCAACGCCGCGUGCGGGAUGACGGCCUUCGGGUUGUAAACCGCUUUCGCCUGUGACGAAGCGUGAGUGACGGUAAUGGGUAAAGAAGCACCGGCUAACUACGUGCCAGCAGCCGCGGUGAUACGUAGGGUGCGAGCGUUGUCCGGAUUUAUUGGGCGUAAAGGGCUCGUAGGUGGUUGAUCGCGUCGGAAGUGUAAUCUUGGGGCUUAACCCUGAGCGUGCUUUCGAUACGGGUUGACUUGAGGAAGGUAGGGGAGAAUGGAAUUCCUGGCGGAGCGGUGGAAUGCGCAGAUAUCAGGAGGAACACCAGUGGCGAAGGCGGUUCUCUGGGCCUUUCCUGACGCUGAGGAGCGAAAGCGUGGGGAGCGAACAGGCUUAGAUACCCUGGUAGUCCACGCUGUAAACGGUGGGUACUAGGUGUGGGGUCCAUUCCACGGGUUCCGUGCCGUAGCUAACGCUUUAAGUACCCCGCCUGGGGAGUACGGCCGCAAGGCUAAAACUCAAAGGAAUUGACGGGGCCCCGCACAAGCGGCGGAGCAUGCGGAUUAAUUCGAUGCAACGCGUAGAACCUUACCUGGGUUUGACAUGGAUCGGGAGUGCUCAGAGAUGGGUGUGCCUCUUUUGGGGUCGGUUCACAGGUGGUGCAUGGCUGUCGUCAGCUCGUGUCGUGAGAUGUUGGGUUAAGUCCCGCAACGAGCGCAACCCUUGUUCACUGUUGCCAGCACGUUAUGGUGGGGACUCAGUGGAGACCGCCGGGGUCAACUCGGAGGAAGGUGGGGAUGACGUCAAGUCAUCAUGCCCCUUAUGUCCAGGGCUUCACGCAUGCUACAAUGGCUGGUACAGAGAGUGGCGAGCCUGUGAGGGUGAGCGAAUCUCGGAAAGCCGGUCUCAGUUCGGAUUGGGGUCUGCAACUCGACCUCAUGAAGUCGGAGUCGCUAGUAAUCGCAGAUCAGCAACGCUGCGGUGAAUACGUUCCCGGGGCUUGUACACACCGCCCGUCAAGUCAUGAAAGUUGGUAACACCCGAAGCCGGUGGCCUAACCGUUGUGGGGGAGCCGUCGAAGGUGGGACUGGUGAUUAGGACUAAG
rnacentral:rRNA from 1 species